rnacentral:rRNA from 1 species
GUCUUUUUGAAAUAAUUUAAAGUCUAAUCUGCCCACUGAUAAAAUUAAAGGGCUGCAGUAUAUUGACUGUACAAAGGUAGCAUAAUCAUUAGUUUUUUAAUUGGAAACUUGUAUGAAAGAUUUGAUGAAAUAUAAACUGUCUCUAAUUUAUAAAUUGAAAUUUAUUUUUUAGUAAAAAAGCUAAAAUAGAUUUAAAAGACGAGAAGACCCUAUAGAGUUUUAUAUUUAAUUUUAUUUGAAAAUUAUAUAAAAAUUAAUAUUCAAAUAGAAUUAAAUAUUAUAUUGGGGUGAUAGAAAAAUUAAAUUAACUUUUUUUAAAAAUUAAACAUAAAUAAAUGAUUAAAUGAUCCAUAAAUAAUGAUUAUAAGAAAAAAUUACCUUAGGGAUAACAGCGUAAUAUUUUUUUUUAGUUCAAAUAAGAAAAAAAGUUUGCGACCUCGAUGUUGGAUUAAGAUAAAAUUUAAAUGCAAAAGUUUAAAAUUUUGAUCUGUUCGAUCAUUAAAAUCUUACA